GGGGAUAUAGCUCAGUUGGUAGAGGGCUUGGGUUCAAUCCCCAGCAACAUAAGGCCCUGGGUUCAAUCCCCAGCAACACCA
rfam:Ictidomys tridecemlineatus contig008654, whole genome shotgun sequence.